GAUGAAGAACGCAGCGAAAUGCGAUAAGUAAUGUGAAUUGCAGAAUUCAGUGAAUCAUCGAAUCUUUGAACGCGCAUUGCGCCCGCCAGUAUUCUGGCGGGCAUGCCUGUUCGAGCGUCAUUUCAACCAUCAAGCCCCAGGCUUGUGUUGGGGACCUGCGGCUGCCGCAGGCCCUGAAAACCAGUGGCGGGCUCGCUGUCACACCGGGCGUAGUAGAUUUUAUCUCGCUCAGGGCGUGCUGCGGGUUCCGGCCGUUAAAAAGCCUUUUUUACCCAAGGUUGACCUCGGAUCAGGUAGGAAGACCCGCUGAACUUAAGCAUAUCAAUAAGCGGAGGA
rnacentral:misc_RNA from 1 species